rnacentral:sRNA from 1 species
CGUGCGAAGAUGCCAAAUCAUCCGAGACAUGAUUGGACUGGAGAAGACUUUGAUGAUGGAUGCCAACCAGCGCUGGGAUGUGCCUGAGGCGGUGGAGUGGAUGUCCAAGCUGGCCAAGUUCAAGCCAUUGUGGAUUGAGGAGCCAACCUCCCCUGAUGACAUUCUGGGGCACGCCACCAUUUCCAAGGCACUGGUCCCAUUAGGAAUUGGCAUUGCCACAGGAGAACAGGUGAGUGACGCCCCCAACAGGUGGGUGACAUCCCCUUGGGGUCGGUACACGCUGACCAGUGACCGAGGACACAGUUGUGUGUUAGGCUCCAUCACCUGCUGUAUUUUGAGUUGGGAGAUUUUCAUCAUCUUAGAAACUGGGUCAUUUUAUCAGAGUCUCGAGUCAAAUAUAGAAGAAGUUUGUGGCUAUUUCUCCAAUUUAUAUGACUAAGGUCAGUUAUCUUUUUCAAAGUGUCUAAUUGAAAUUGAAAAGGCAGCAAUUUAAAGUUGCUAUUGCAAGGGCAGAAAAUGGUCUUAAGAAAACCAGCUUUCAAAUUGAAUAAACAUGACUGCGUUCACUUUUUGAGCUUAUAAAUGAAGCCCGAGUGCCUGCCAAAACCUGCUGCAG